AUUGAACGCUGGCGGCAGGCUUAACACAUGCAAGUCGAGCGAGCGGCGGACGGGUGAGUAAUGUCUGGGAAACUGCCUGAUGGAGGGGGAUAACUACUGGAAACGGUAGCUAAUACCGCAUACCAUCAGAUGUGCCCAGAUGGGAUUAGUGAGAAGGUGGGGUAAUGGCUCACCUAGGCGACGAUCCCUAGCUGGUCUGAGAGGAUGACCAGCACCACUUGAAGUGAGCCACGGUUCAGACUCCUACGGGAGGCAGCAGUGGGGAAUAUUGCACAAUGGGAUCAAUCCGGGUGCAGCCAUGCCGCGUGUGUGAAGAAGGCCUUCGGGUUGUAAAGCACUUUCAGCGAGGAGGCGUUACUCGCAGAAGAAGCCCCGGCUAACUACGUGCCAGCAGCCGCGGUAAUAC
rnacentral:rRNA from 1 species